UCGGGCUUUAGCUUAAUUAAGUGUUUGAGUUGCAUUCAUAAAAUGUAGGAUAGAGUCUUGCAAGUUCGA
rnacentral:tRNA from 1 species